GUCCCCGUAGUUCAAUGGAUAGAAUGUCAGAUUCCGGUUCUGAUGAUAUGAGUUCGAAUCUCGUCGGGGACA
rnacentral:tRNA from 2 species